rnacentral:rRNA from 1 species
AGAGUUUGAUCCUGGCUCAGGAUGAACGCUAGCGGCAGGCCUAAUACAUGCAAGUCGAACGGUGAUAUUUAUAUCAUAGUGGCGCACGGGUGCGUAACACGUAUGCAACCUACCUAUUAUUGGGGGAUAGCCUUUGGAAACGGAGAUUAAUACCGCAUAAUACGAUUGACUGGCAUCGGUUGAUUGUUAAAGCUUUGGCGAUAAUAGAUGGGCAUGCGUCCAAUUAGUUAGUUGGUGAGGUAACGGCUGACCAAGACGAUGAUUGGUAGGGGAUCUGAGAGGAUAAUCCCCCACACUGGCACUGAGAUACGGGCCAGACUCCUACGGGAGGCAGCAGUAGGGAAUAUUGGGCAAUGGGCGGAAGCCUGACCCAGCCAUGCCGCGUGCAGGAAGAAGGCGUUAUGCGUUGUAAACUGCUUUUUUAUAGGAAGAAGGAUCCCUUGCGAGGGAAGGUGACGGUACUAUAAGAAUAAGCACCGGCUAACUCCGUGCCAGCAGCCGCGGUAAUACGGAGGGUGCAAGCGUUGUCCGGAUUUAUUGGGUUUAAAGGGUGCGUAG